CUCUGAUGGAGGAAAGAACAAAACCAUUUCAAGUUCAGCAAAGGGGCACCUGAGUGUUGCCUAUGUUCUAGACUUGAGAAGGACGACCACUUUCUGCAACUCAGCACACCAGGAAAAUUGACUGCUUCCGUCUUCAGUUUCUUCAUCCCUCCCACUCAGACAACAUCCUUCUUUAUCCAAGCCCCCACUUCUGAUUACUCUAGCAAGUCGACUGUAACUCUUAUCAGAUUUUCUUUUGAAACAGGUGACACUGGUAACUCCUCAGCCCUCCCUGAAGAAAUGACAGUGUCUCAUGUAACCCUGUCUGGCAUGGAAUUCCCUAUGCAGCUGAAGACAACCUCCAAUUCCUAAUCGGCUUGUUCUACCUCCCAAGUGCUGGGACUGCAGGUGUGCACCAGCACACUCAGCUGCAGUCAGAAGAGGGCACUGGAUCCCCUGGAAACUGAGUUACAGAUGGUUAUAAGUCACCUGGUGGAUACUGGAAGAUGAGCUUGGAUCUUCUACAAGAGCAGCAUUUACCCAAUGUAUUUGAACUCAGUGAAGUUGCCCUCAGCAUGCAGACGACAGCUUCUAGGGCCUCCAGAGGACGCCGAAGUCUGAAGCUGCCCAAGUCCACUGCGGUAUUUGCACAUGACUUACAUCCAUCCUCUCUGUCUGCAUAUGUUUUGUAGGUGCAUUUCCUGCGAUCCCAAGUCCUACCCGAUUAGAUUAUUUUCCGUGUGUGGCAGGCUGGAUCUAUAGUGCUGAGGACAGAGCCCAGGGCAUUUACCCUGAGCUACAUCUCCUUCCCAUACAUACUUCUUUAAAAAGGGGACUCUCUGUGGCCCAUGGUGGUUUUCUACUGCAGGCAAUCCUCUGACCUCAGUCUCCCAAGUGUUCCCACCAUGCCUGGCUUCUACAUUCUUUCCUUAAUGCAUUACAUGGAAUGAGGUUUUUCAAACACCCUUUGAGAACUACUAUUCCCUAGGGAAAGUUCUUUGGCUACUCACACUACCAGUACUUUCAGUGUCUAGGAUUACACUGAACCCAUGUUUACUUCUGAGACAGGCUGGCCUUGACCACAGUAUGAAGCCCAUUCAGACUAGCCUCAAACUCAAAAUUCUCUUGCCUCUGGACCCUAGGUGCUAGGAUUACAAGUAUAUACUACCAGGCCCAACUGUACUUUGUCUAUGUCUGUCUCUCUCUGAAAUGAAAAUUUCCUUCAGGGUGGAAAAUAUUGUUCUUGUUGAUUUGGGCCCAUCAGUGCCCAAUAAAGAAAUCUGCUAAGUCACUUCCUGACCUUUCUCCUGUCCUGUCUAUGAACUACUGGACCAUUAUUUCUAUAAAUGAGUAUACUGAAAGCAGUAGAUGUAACCGUAAGAUAUUACUAAAAUGCCUGUACUUGGCUUAUUUAUUUCUAAAUAAACUUAUU